GUUGUUCAAAGGUGGGUUAGCGCUAACCCUGGGUUAAAAUUUAACCCACUGUUUUGGUUUGUGUAUUUCUGCACGUCUGUUGAUUUCAAAACUUCAGAGAAGUAAACUCCUAUCAAUCCUGUCAAGAUCUCUGAAGAAAUAUUUCCAAAUUUAUUGACAAGCUGUCAGAAAGUUUGCUUUGAAUUUUAGGUUAAUCUAGGGUUAAGCUAACCCAGCUUUGAACAACCGGCCCCAGGUNNNNNNNNNNNNNNNNNNNNCCCCCCCCCCCAACUUCAUAUGCUUCGCUACGUCCCUGGCCGUUUGAGAGUAAAGCCUGUUUUCCACUUCAACCAUAGUUAAUAGAGGAGAUGGUUUGGAAACUCAUUAGCAUUACAAUAAACCCUCACUAUGUUUUUGUUGACGUUUAUGCAAAAAUGUGGUCUUUCAUCGUCACGUGCGUAUUGUAUUUUUGCUCAACCAGCCAAUCGCAACGGUUUUGUCCAAUUGCCCAUCCAUGACUUUAACAAUAGGACAUUUUGAACAUUCCUAUUGGCUGACUUGAGAAAAAUACAAUACGCACGUGACGAUGAAAGACCACAUUUUUGCAUAAACCUGAACAACAUAGAUAAUGAGGGCUAUCUUCAAAAUGGGGAAUCUGGGAAUCCAGAACUGAUAAGACGGGGAUAUUAGUGUCAGCCUUGUUGGAAAACGCAUUUGCUACUUUGUUUACUAAAGGCUAUCUUUAAAACAGGGAGUGGGGAAUCGGGGAAUCCAGAACUGAUAAGACGGGGAUAUUAGUGUGCUUGUUGGAAAACGCAUUUGCUACUUUGUUUAGAAUAAUACAGGCGAUGAACAUACAGUAUACACUGCGGAUCCGUUGUCUUACUAUAUAGCUUAUGCUUAUGAUAUAUUAUAUAUGUAUAACAGCGCUGUGCACAUAUGCGAUUUUAAUAACAUAUAAUUUUAUUAAUUUCAAUUAGACAUUAG
rnacentral:lncRNA from 1 species